GAUAAACGCUGGCGGCGCACAUAAGACAUGCAAGUCGAACGAACUUAAUUUUAAUGUUUACAUUAAAAAGCGGUUAGUGGCGGACUGGUGAGUAACGCGUAAGCAAUCUGCCUAUUAGAGGGGAAUAACAGUGAGAAAUCACUGCUAAUACCGCAUAUGCCAUAAGAACCACAUGGUUCUAGUGGGAAAGGAGUAAUCCACUAAUAGAUGAGCUUGCGUCUGAUUAGCUAGUUGGUGGGGUAAUGGCCUACCAAGGCAACGAUCAGUAGCCGAACUGAGAGGUUGAUCGGCCACAUUGGGACUGAGAUACGGCCCAGACUCCUACGGGAGGCAGCAGUCGGGAAUAUUGCGCAAUGGAGGAAACUCUGACGCAGUGACGCCGCGUAUAGGAAGAAGGUUUUCGGAUUGUAAACUAUUGUCGUUAGGGAAGAUAAAAGACAGUACCUAAGGAGGAAGCUCCGGCUAACUACGUG
rnacentral:rRNA from 1 species